rnacentral:rRNA from 1 species
AAGGGAACUCAGCAGUAAUAAACGUUAAGCUAUAAGUGUAAACUUGACUUAGUUACAGUCAAAAGGGCCGGUCAAAUAUCGUGCCAGCCACCGCGGUUACACGAGAGGCCCAAGUUGAUAGACAUCGGCGUAAAGGGUGGUUAAUAGGAAAAAUUACACUAAAGCCGAACGUUUUCAAGGCUGUCAUAAGCUUUCGAAAAUAGGAAGCUCCCCCACGAAAGUGGCUUUAAUAACUAUGACCCCACGAAAGCUAGGGCACAAACUGGGAUUAGAUACCCCACUAUGCCUAGCCCUAAACAGACAACCACUUUACAAUAGUUUUUCGCCAGGGAACAACGAGCCUCAGCUUAAAACCCAAAGGACUUGGCGGUGCUUUAGACCCCCCUAGAGGAGCCUGUCCUAGAACCGAUAAUCCCCGUUUAACCUCACCCCCUCUUGUCCUUUCCCGCCUGUAUACCUCCGUCUUCAGCUCACCCUGUGAGGGCUUAGAAGUGAGCAGAAUUGGCACUGCCUAAAACGUCAGGUCGAGGUGCAGCUUAUGAGGGGGGAAGAGAUGGGCUACAUUUUCUGCCCCAGAAUAUACGAAUUUUGCCCUGAAAAAGCAUCUGAAGGUGGAUUUAGCAGUAAGGAGAGAUUAGAGCGCUCUCCUGAAGCCGGCCCUAAAGCGCGUACACACCGCCCGUCACUCUCCCCGAGACAUUCAACACCUAUUUAUAAUAAGUCAAAAGCAAAACAAGGGGAGGCAAGUCGUAACAUGGUAAGUGUACCGGAAGGUGUACUUGGACAAUAUCC